GAAGAACUUUACCGGAGCACUGUAGCGGCGACGAUCAAACCGGGGAGGAGCUCUUCAACUCAUCAACAACCUAGAGGUAUUUGUUGAAGGACCACCGUGAGGCAUUUAUUUGGAUCUCAAUUGGGAUUAGACUAUUGUCAAAUCAGGAGCAGUAGACCCAGGGAUCUUAGAAGGCUUUCAGUAGAUGUCUU